UACGGGGGGGGGCAAGCGUUGUUCGGAAUUACUGGGCGUAAAGAGCUCGUAGGUGGUUUGUCGCGUUGUCCGUGAAAACUCACAGCUCAACUGUGGGCGUGCGGGCGAUACGGGCAGACUGGAGUACUGCAGGGGAGACUGGAAUUCCUGGUGUAGCGGUGGAAUGCGCAGAUAUCAGGAGGAACACCGAUGGCGAAGGCAGGUCUCUGGGCCACUACUGACGCUGAGAAGCGAAAGCAUGGGGAGCGAACAGG
rnacentral:rRNA from 1 species